rnacentral:rRNA from 1 species
CACGUAAGGUGCGAGCGUUGUUCGGAAUUAUUGGGCGUAAAGGGCAUGUAGGCGGUCCUUCAAGUCUGGAGUGAAAUCGCAGGGCUCAACCCUGCAACUGCUUUGGAAACUGGAGGACUUGAGUCGCCGUGGCGGAGCCGGAAUUCCAGGUGUAGGGGUGAAAUCUGUAGAUAUCUGGAAGAACACCGAUGGCGAAGGCAGGCUCCGAGCGGACGACUGACGCUCAGGUGCGAAGGUGCGGGGAGCAAAC